rnacentral:lncRNA from 1 species
GCCUUGCUUCACAUGUGCCCUUUCGCCACUGCUUCUUGAUGGCCUGCCAGCUCUGAAGGCAUAGCUUUUGGGGGGUCAAAUUCUUCCCAUGACACCUGUGCCAAUGUGGAGUAACUAGUGUAUCUGCUGGAGUUUCUUAACAUUUACACUGGCACAGUGGAGAUCAAGAUGCCGACGUCCGUCAGUGCACAAAACAAGCCUUUGCAGGCUUUUUGAGGUGACACCUUCUGAUCGAUGGUAGGAACAGGUUAGAGUGUCCACUGGAACCCUGGGUGCUCACAUUUACAUCACCUCCCUUUGCACUGACCAUUGUUUCCUCGCUGUAUAUAAAUAGACAACUGCCCCUCACUAUGAGAUGUGAACAGUCCUUGCAAGUAUGGUAAGUCAGCAGCUUAUAUUCUCUCUCUCUAUAUGUUUGUGUGUUUAUGUGUACAUACAGUGGAAGUAUUUUUCAAAACCACCUAGUUUUAAAUAAAGCUUCCUGUUUCUUUUGUAGAAAUUCUUGCUGGUCUUCUGCUUGAUCCUUCUCUUCUCAGGGACUCUGUGUGAUGCUCGCUGUUACUUUAGACCAUCCAGCAAAUACGGGUGCCUUUCAAACAGAAACCUUUACGUUUUUGGUGCGGUGUGGAAGACUGAAGAUUGUUACCAAUGCAGGUGUAAGAUGAAUGCAAUGAUUUGCUGCAGCUUGGUUGUAAUCCCCAAGAACUACGACAGAGCAAACUGUGUUGGUCUGUUCCACAAGAAAAGCUGUUCAAUCAAAGUAGUGAAGAAGACAAACCCUGACAUAAGCUGCAAAGUCUACAAUGGAGUUGGUUAAGUCCAUGUGAUGUGUUUCUCCUCUUCUGCAUGUCCCUGGAAGUUGAAUAUGUUUUGGAUCUCUCAUUUAGAGGAAAUCAUCAAAGCAACAUGGUUUCAGAAGGAAUGGGUUCACCUCAUGCCUUUCCCAGUUCUAAUUAUGGCACGUCUGUCUGAUUUCUGACACUAGGAGGUUUGUCUUAUUAUAUAAACAUUUGUAACAAAGCUUUACCAUAGAUAAUUUUGUGACUUUAUUCCUGUUGGGAUCCAGAGUUAAAUAAAUUUCCACAUAUACCAUAUUACUUCUUUUCC